rnacentral:rRNA from 1 species
ACAUAUAAGAGCGGAUACUUCAUGAUACAGUGUAUAAAACUCAGGAAGUGUGAGAUGGUUGCGCGUCUGAUUAGGUAGUUGGAAAGGUAACGGCCCACCAAGGCGAAGAUCAGUAGUCGACCUGAGAGGGUGACCGUCCACAUUGGGACUGAGACACGGCCCAAACUCCUACGGGAGGCAGCAGUGGGGAAUAUUGCACAAUGGGCGAAAGCCUGAUGCAGCAACGCCGCGUGAGUGAAGAAGUAUCUCGGUAUGUAAAGCUCUAUCAGCAGGGAAGAAAAUGACGGUACCUGACUAAGAAGCCCCGGCUAACUACGUGCCAGCAGCCGCGGUAAUACGUAGGGGGCAAGCGUUAUCCGGAUUUACUGGGUGUAAAGGGAGCGCAGACGGCACUGCAAGUCUGAAGUGAAAGCCCGGGGCUCAACCCCGGGACUGCUUUGGAAACUGUAGAGCUAGAGUGCUGGAGAGGCAAGCGGAAUUCCUAGUGUAGCGGUGAAAUGCGUAGAUAUUAGGAAGAACACCAGUGGCGAAGGCGGCUUGCUGGACAGUAACUGACGUUCAGGCUCGAAAGCGUGGGGAGCAAACAGGAUUAGAUACCCUGGUAGUCCACGCCGU